GCAAGGUUGAAACUCAAAGGAAUUGACGGGGGCCCGCACAAGCGGAGGAACAUGUGGUUUAAUUCGAUGAUACGCGAGGAACCUUACCCGGGUUUGAACGUAGGGAGACAGGAGUGGAAACAUUCUUUUCAGCAAUGACUGCCUACGAGGUGCUGCAUGGUUGUCGUCAGCUCGUGCCGUGAGGUGUCGGCUUAAGUGCCAUAACGAGCGCAACCCUUAUUUCCAGUUACUAACAGGUCAAGCUGAGGACUCUGGAGAGACUGCCAGCGUAAGCUGUGAGGAAGGUGGGGAUGACGUCAAAUCAGCACGGCCCUUACAUCCGGGGCGACACACGUGUUACAAUGGUAAGGACAAAGGGCAGCUACCGGGCGACCGGAUGCGAAUCUCUAAACCUUAUCUCAGUUCGGAUCGGAGUCUGCAACUCGACUCCGUGAAGCUGGAUUCGCNAUGAUAUCGCGCA
rnacentral:rRNA from 1 species